UUCAUGAGCUGCCAUUUUUUUGCCUUUUUUCCCUUUCGUAUCCACUGUCAUAUAUAAAUUCAAAGAAAAAGGAAGGAAUAUAGAAAGUGCCGAGAUUUGAAUGAGUUCGAUACGGAAACAACAAUCACUGAAAUCGAGAGAA
rnacentral:ribozyme from 14 species